AUACUUGUGUGUAGAUUCAAGGGUUCAACGAUUUUUGUCCAAGAAAAAGAAAAGAAAAACUGGAAAUCUGCUUUAAUAUUAGCUCUAAGAUUGUAUUUUCUUAUUUGGUUCCACCUUUGCCUAAGUAGUUUAUCUGGGUUUGUUUUGCUCAUGGUUUUUUUGUUUGUUUGGAUGAGUUGUGGAGAGAACCAGACAUCAAUCUUUUCUAUGUAUUUCUCUUAUUCAUAUGGUAGCCCAGAGCAGAAAACAUGGAUCUUAAGGAAAUUACAACUUGCCUGACAUGUACUAAAUGACUGAAAUAAAAUAAAAUAUAAUGGCAUUUGACCCAUUUGUUUAUUUUUCAUCACUAUAUGCUUGUAGGUGAUAAGAAGUCUAGGGAUCACAUUCCUACUGCUUGUAAGGACUCUGUGGCAAUUUUGUUCAUGUUUGAUGUAACAAGUCGGUGUACACUAAAUGGGAGAUUCAACAAAUUGCUAGUCUGCCAUUGAUGCCUCACCACAUGUAUGCAAAUGUUCAUCUACAUCAUUGUCUUGCAAAUUAACCACAACAACAAUACUAUGAAGAUAUUGAAGUAGAGGGGAUAGAGAUCCAUCAAUCUUCGUUAGAUGAUGUGUUUCUGCUCACACCUAUCUAAUAAUCUUCUUCCAAAGUUGUGUUUUGUAAUUUAUAUAUUGUAAUUUUGUGUUUUGUAAUGUAAUGUAUAAAUACUAAAUAAUGUAAUAUGUAGUGAAUUGCAUU